AUACGGAAGGUGCAAGCGUUAAUCGGAAUCACUGGGCGUAAAGCGCUCGUAGGUGGCUUUGUAAGUCAGGUGUGAAAGCCCACGGCUCAACCGUGGAAUUGCACUCGAUACUGCAUUGCUUGAGUUCGGGAGAGGGUAGUGGAAUUCCAGGUGUAGGAGUGAAAUCCGUAGAGAUCUGGAGGGGAACACCAGUGGCGAAGGCGACUACCUGGACCGAUACUGACACUGAGGAGCGAAAGCGUGGGGAGC
rnacentral:rRNA from 1 species